GGGGAAAAAUGAAAAGAGCUAACUAGAAUCAAGAUGGAUUGUUCGGUGUUUUUGCUUACUUUCUCGAAGGGUAUAAUCGUCAUAUAAUGCAUGUAUACUCGAUUGACUUAUGAAAUUAAAAUUUUUUAUUUGAAAAGAGAGGAAAAAAUUUUCUACGUAGUUGACCAUAUCAAUAGUGAUCAAUCAAUCGGCUCAAGGUUUGAUUGGAAAUCUGUGUGUAAGCAUGGAUAUAUUAAAAGACCUUGACCAAAUUCAUUAAAUAAUACACCAAGUCUU
rnacentral:lncRNA from 1 species